rnacentral:misc_RNA from 1 species
GAUGAAGAACGUAGUGAAACGCGAUAGUUAAUGUGAAUUGCAGAAUUCAGUGAAUCAUCGAGUCUUUGAACGCACAUUGCGCCCCUCGGUAUUCCGGAGGGCAUGUCUGUUUGAGCGUCAUUUCAACUCUCGCUUUAAGCGGUAUUGAGCUUAGUUUCAUUUCGAAUUCAUUCGAAUGAAUCUAGCUUUAAAGUUGAUGUUUUUGCGGACGAAUGUCUUGAAUAAACAUAGUAAAAUCUUUUGAUUUCUCCUGUUUGUUCAUAAUAAUCGUCUUGCCAAAAUAAUUUUCUAAUUUUUCUAAUUAGAAAAUAAUUUUUCAUUUUUGACCUCAGAUCAGACAAGGAUACCCGCUGAACUUAAGCAUAUCAAUAAGCGGAGGA